rnacentral:pre_miRNA from 1 species
UUGCCUAGAGGGAGAAGCUGUACAGGCUAUGAUUCGUACGUAUCAAGUCGACAUAAGCGUAUGGCUUUUCCCCUAGGAGA